rnacentral:rRNA from 1 species
UAAGCUGGGUUCUGAGGAAGGGAUGAUCAGCCACCACUGGAACUGAGAACACCGUCCAGACUCCUACGGGAGGCAGCAGUGGGGAAUAUGCACAAUGGGCGCAAGCCUGAUGCAGCCAUGCCGCGUGUGUGAAGAAGGCCUUCGGGUUGUAAAGCACUUUCAGUCGUGAGGAAGGUAGUGUAGUUAAUAGCUGCAUUAUUUGACGUUAGCGACAGAAGAAGCACCGGCUAACUCCGUGCCAGCAGCCGCGGUAAUACGGAGGGUGCGAGCGUUAAUCGGAAUUACUGGGCGUAAAGCGCAUGCAGGUGGUUUGUUAAGUCAGAUGUGAAAGCCCGGGGCUCAACCUCGGAAUUGCAUUUGAAACUGGCAGACUAGAGUACUGUAGAGGGGGGUAGAAUUUCAGGUGUAGCGGUGAAAUGCGUAGAGAUCUGAAGGAAUACCGGUGGCGAAGGCGGCCCCCUGGACAGAUACUGACACUCAGAUGCGAAAGCGUGGGGAGCAAACAGGAUUAGAUACCCUGGUAGUCCACGCCGUAAACGAUGUCUACUUGGAGGUUGUGGCCUUGAGCCGUGGCUUUCGGAGCUAACGCGUUAAGUAGACCGCCUGGGGAGUACGGUCGCAAGAUUAAAACUCAAAUGAAUUGACGGGGGCCCGCACAAGCGGUGGAGCAUGUGGUUUAAUUCGAUGCAACGCGAAGAACCUUACCUACUCUUGACAUCCAGAGAACUUUCCAGAGAUGGAUUGGUGCCUUCGGGAACUCUGAGACAGGUGCUGCAUGGCUGUCGUCAGCUCGUGUUGUGAAAUGUUGGGUUAAGUCCCGCAACGAGCGCAACCCUUAUCCUUGUUUGCCAGCGAGUAAUGUCGGGAACUCCAGGGAGACUGCCGGUGAUAAACCGGAGGAAGGUGGGGACGACGUCAAGUCAUCAUGGCCCUUACGAGUAGGGCUACACACGUGCUACAAUGGCGCAUACAGAGGGCGGCCAACUUGCGAAAGUGAGCGAAUCCCAAAAAGUGCGUCGUAGUCCGGAUUGGAGUCUGCAACUCGACUCCAUGAAGUCGGAAUCGCUAGUAAUCGUGGAUCAGAAUGCCACGGUGAAUACGUUCCCGGGCCUUGUACACACCGCCCGUCACACCAUGGGAGUGGGCUGCAAAAGAAGUAGGUAGUUUAACCUUCGGGGGGACGCUUACCACUUUGGUUCGUGG